AGAAGUAAGAGAGAUCAAAACAUGAGAAGGACUCAGUUGUCACUGCUGGUGUGAAGAUGGACAAACCACACAAGAUGGCAUGAUGGUGACUUCUAGGAGCUAAGGCAGUCCCCAGGAAAUAGCAGACCCAGAAAUGGGGACCUCCGAUCUAAAGCCACAGGAAAACAGAUUGAAGAGGACCCUCACCAAAACCUAGAUGGUACCGACACCCUGAUCUUGGACUGAUCUUGGACUUCCAGCCUCCAGAACUAAGCUGAGCUCCUACCCUCACACAGAGACUAGAAGCCGGAAGCUCUAUCUUUCUUAAGGAUUACCUUACAAAAGGAUGGACACAAGUUCCUGGG